CCACGCCGCUGUCCUCGCUGAGGGUCUGUCCGCUGUCGGACAGCUGAGACAAGGCGCCGCCUGAGGAAGCAGGACGACUCCAGGUUAAAGCUGUACUACACCGCUCCAUCAGCGUCGGAUACGGUCGCCUUGAUGACGCAUCCAGCCUGCGCAGAUCCUGCUCAUUUCCUGCAUUUUCCAAACAGCUCACCAGAGAGAUGUCGGUCAGCAGCGUGUUCAGGCUCUCCGGAGGAUCCGCCUCGUUACUCUCCGCCACGCUGUCGUUCUGCAGGCGGGAGGAAGAGGAAAGACACAGGCCCAGGAGUCAGGCAGAAACGACUAAUCGUGACUAAUCACGAUUAAUCGAUUACUGACGUUAUCGUCAACUAAUUUAGUAAUCGAUUAAUCGUUAACGGGAGUAAAGAGACUCUGCAAAAGAUCAUUUGCUGAAAGAAGAACACACUCAGAGCAGGAAUUAAACCACAAAUGUUGAUUUAAAGAUGAAAUUUUGUGUGUAAACAUGUUUUAGCCAGAACUCCUAGUUUCAUUUUUAGCUUCACCUGAUUAAAAAACCCUCCAGCCUCACCUUGUAUUCACGAUAAGUCAGGCAAAAAGGGCUGAGAUUUUCACAUAUUACAAGAAUAUUUUAGAUAAAGGUGAAUCCAUUGCUGCAAAUUAUGAAAUGUUCACUAAAGGAAUGCUGUGCUGUUUCAUUUUAGGAAGUGAAAUAUUUAUUUUCUUGUUAUUUUAAGAAAUAAUUAAAUUGAUUCUUUAUUUGGAUUUUUAUAUAUUCUUAGUUCA